CGCAAUGGACGAAAGUCUGACGGAGCGACGCCGCGUGAGCGAAGAAGGUUUUCGGAUCGUAAAGCUCUGUUGUUAGGGACGAAGAAGUACCGUUCGAAUAGGGCGGUACGGUGACGGUACCUAACGAGAAAGCCCCGGCUAACUACGUGCCAGCAG
rnacentral:rRNA from 1 species